rnacentral:rRNA from 1 species
CUUGUCUCAAAGAUUAAGCCAUGCAUGUCUAAGUAUAAACGACUUUAUACUGUGAAACUGCGAAUGGCUCAUUAUAUCAGUUAUAGUUUAUUUGAUGGUCCUUGCUACUUGGAUAACCGUAGUAAUUCUAGAGCUAAUACAUGCACAAAGGCCCGACUCACGAAGGGCUGUAUUUAUUAGAUUUAAAGCCGACAUCUUUUGGUGAUUCAUAAUAACUUUGCGAAUCGCAUAGCUUUAAUGCUGGCGAUGGGUCAUUCAAAUUUCUGCCCUAUCAACUUUCGACGGUAGGAUAGAGGCCUACUGUGGUGAUAACGGGUAACGAAGAAUAAGGGUUCGAUUUCGGAGAGGGAGCCUGAGAAACGGCUACCACAUCCAAGGAAGGCAGCAGG